UGCGAACGCUGGCGGCAGGCCUAACACAUGCAAGUCGAACGAACUCUUCGGAGUUAGUGGCGGACGGGUGAGUAACACGUGGGAACGUGCCUUUUGGUUCGGAAUAACUCAGGGAAACUUGUGCUAAUACCGAAUGUGCCCUUCGGGGGAAAGAUUUAUCGCCAUUAGAGCGGCCCGCGUCUGAUUAGCUAGUUGGUGAGGUAACGGCUCACCAAGGCGACGAUCAGUAGCUGGUCUGAGAGGAUGACCAGCCACACUGGGACUGAGACACGGCCCAGACUCCUACGGGAGGCAGCAGUGGGGAAUCUUGCGCAAUGGGCGAAAGCCUGACGCAGCCAUGCCGCGUGAAUGAUGAAGGUCUUAGGAUUGUAAAAUUCUUUCACCGGGGACGAUAAUGACGGUACCCGGAGAAGAAGCCCCGGCUAACUUCGUG
rnacentral:rRNA from 1 species